AUCAUCGUCUCAAAUGAGUCU
rnacentral:miRNA from 12 species